GACGAACGCUGGCGGCGUGCUUAACACAUGCAAGUCGAACGAAGUGGCGAACGGGUGAGUAACGCGUAAUAAACCUGCCCUUCAGAGGGGGACAACAGUUGGAAAAGACUGCUAAUACCGCAUACUGAAGGAGGGGAGUGCGUCUGAUUAGCGAGUUAGAGGGGUAACGGCACACCAAGGCGAUGAUCAGUAGCCGGGCUGAGAGGAUGAACGGCCACAUUGGGACUGAGACACGGCCCAGCCGCCUACGGAAAGCAGCAGUGGGGAAUCUUCCGCAAUGGACGAAAGUCUGACGGAGCAACGCCGCGUGAGUGAUGACGGCCUUCGGGUGGUAAAGCUCUGUUAAUCGGGACGCGGUACCGGAAUAGAAAGCCACGGCUAACUACGUGCCAGCCGCCGCGGUAAUAC
rnacentral:rRNA from 1 species